rnacentral:lncRNA from 1 species
CCAGAAAGGGAAAGGAGAGGAGUAAAGAGGAAAAGAGAACAGUGGUGGGUGCCUAUAAAGAGCCACACACCUUGCUGCAUGCUCUAUAUGUGGGCUAUUGUUUGUUCUCACAAUGAAUCUGAGUAGUAGAUAUAGCAUGCCCAUUUUCCACAGUUUUGGAGGAAUGGGAGAGGAGCUUUCCACUCCUCUGAGAGUCAUGUCGAGAGUCUGUCUUAGCCCUCGACCCCUCAGUCUUUGUAGAUCUCAUCCCAGAACCCCGAGGGAGAGGAACACAGUGCCUGGUGAAACAGAGCCAGCCAGUGCUGAGCACUCAGGACCGGUUCUGGUUUCCUGGUGUGGCCUGGGCCUCCAUCUGGUUUGGAGGCUAUUUUGAUCCACCGGAUGCAGAUUAGCUGCUGCGAUCUGGGGCUGAGCUGCUGGAGAGAUGCCUUUAUCUACAGAAGGACAAUUUGAAAACUAACUCAAAGCAUCGAGAACAAAUAAAUAAAUUCCUCUUUCCGUUCCCAGCACUCUCCAUCCUAUUUCUACAGGUAAUUGCUGAAGGAUUUUUGCUUCAAACAGGCUCUUGUUUGCAUCAAGUGUGGGGUGCAGCAAAGUGGACUCGGGACUGGCCGAUGUCUGGCCAGAAAUGCCAGGCAAGGGAAACAGUGACUCUAGUGGGGUCAGGAGAGGGGCAUCUGCUGGCCCAGGAGCGCAAGGCAGAGGCAUUUGCUUUGAUGUAAGCCUUCUUGGGCAGGAACCAUCUUCCCCUUCUCUAAUCAUCGAGGAAAGGGGCCUUCAGACCUGCGCUGGCCUGGGCCCAGAUGAGGCAUGCUAAUUUCAUUGUCAGUGUCUUGAUGUUUCAGGAGCUCAUGGCACUUGAAAAUAUGGGCUUUGCAUCAUGCAGACUUCAUUGUCCCCCUUAUAGGUGAGGCGACUCUGAGGCAGGAGGUCCAAGUUUGCUGGACAAUGGCAGAAACAGAAUUCAAACACCUGUCUUCUAGGAGAAGUUCUGGUCUCUCCUCGGUGCUGCGGCUGCCCCGGGAAGAGUUUCCAGGAGCUGACAAGCAUUCAGAUGAGUAAAGAUGGGAUCGGAUUGAGAAAAGGAGAAGGGAGAGCAUAUUCGUUCUCUUUCCACCUCCCUCCCACAGCCUUUCAUGCUGAUCUCAUCUGACGAAGCUGCCUCCUCCUCCCUGGACUCUACAAGCCCCUGUCAUGAUGUUUCUCAGAUCCUGAAUUCCAGCGAAACAGAUGAUACUAACAAGUUUGAAGACCCCCACAGAGGAAUGGAAUCAGUAUGAGAACACAGUUUCUUCAUCUCCCUGUCCCAGAACUUCACCCUGGACUCCUCGACCAAUCAACAAUCUCCACACUUCGGCCCACUCCAAAACUCCUAAAAUCCCAAGCUCCAAACUCCUCUGGGAGAUGGAUUUGAGGCUUCCUCCCGUUUCCUUGUGUGGAAGCCCUGUCAUUAAACCUCUUUCUCUGCUG